UACGGAGGGGGCAAGCGUUGUUCGGAAUUACUGGGCGUAAAGCGCACGUAGGCGGACUCUUAAGUCAGGGGUGAAAUCCCGGGGCUCAACCUCGGAAGUGCCUCUGAUACUGAGCGACUAGAGUGCAGGAGAGGUGAGCGGAAUUCCUGGUGUAGAGGUGAAAUUCGUAGAUAUCUGGAGGAACACCAGAGGCGAAGGCGGCUCUCUGGUCCGGUUCUGACGCUGAGGUGCGAAAGCGUGGGGAGCAAACAGG
rnacentral:rRNA from 1 species